CUAGUACUCCCUCCGUUCCAAAUUACUCGUCUCAGAAAUAAAAAUAGAUGUAUCUAGAAUUAAAAUACAUCUAGAUACAUCUAUACCUGCGAUAAGUAAAGUAAUUUGGAACGGAGGGAGUACCUA
rfam:Triticum aestivum genome assembly, contig: Triticum_aestivum_CS42_TGACv1_scaffold_556576_7AL